rnacentral:rRNA from 1 species
GCUGGCGGCGCGCCUAACACAUGCAAGUCGAGCGAGAACCAGGGCUUCGGCCCUGGGGACAGCGGCGAACGGGUGAGUAACACGUGGAUAACCUGCCCUCGGCACCGGAAUAGCCCGGGGAAACCCGGAUUAAUGCCGGAUAGCCCCACAUCCCUGCGGGGAACGUGGGAAAAGGUAGCUUCGGCCUCUGGCCGAGGAUGGGUCCGCGGUGGAUUAGCUUGUUGGCGGGGUAACGGCCCACCAAGGCGACGAUCCAUAGCUGGUCUGAGAGGAGGAUCAGCCACACUGGGACUGAGACACGGCCCAGACUCCUACGGGAGGCAGCAGUGGGGAAUCUUGCGCAAUGGGCGAAAGCCUGACGCAGCGACGCCGCGUGCGGGAAGAAGGCCUUCGGGUUGUAAACCGCUUUCAGGAGGGACGAAGCCACUCGGGUUAAUAGCCCAGAGGGUGACGGUACCUCCAGAAGAAGCCCCGGCUAACUACGUGCCAGCAGCCGCGGUAAUACGUAGGGGGCAAGCGUUGUCCGGAUUCAUUGGGCGUAAAGAGCGUGUAGGCGGCCAGGUAGGUCGGUUGUGAAAACUGGAGGCUCAACCUUCAGAG